rnacentral:rRNA from 1 species
GGGGUUAACCGUACGCCCAACGAAGAUCGGGAGUAACAACCUGGAAACAAGAUGCUAAUACCGGAUAACAACAGAUGAUGCCUAUCAACUGUUUAAAAGAUGGUUCUGCUAUCACUCUUGGAUGGACCUGCGGUGCAUUAGCUAGUUGGUAGGGUAACGGCCUACCAAGGCGAUGAUGCAUAGCCGAGUUGAGAGACUGAUCGGCCACAUUGGGACUGAGACACGGCCCAAACUCCUACGGGAGGCAGCAGCU